rnacentral:rRNA from 1 species
UGGGGAAUUUUGGACAAUGGGCGAAAGCCUGAUCCAGCAAUGCCGCGUGUGUGAAGAAGGCCUUCGGGUUGUAAAGCACUUUUGUCCGGAAAGAAAUCCUUGGCUCUAAUACAGUCGGGGGAUGACGGUACCGGAAGAAUAAGCACCGGCUAACUACGUGCCAGCAGCCGCGGUAAUACGUAGGGUGCAAGCGUUAAUCGGAAUUACUGGGCGUAAAGCGUGCGCAGGCGGUUUGCUAAGACCGAUGUGAAAUCCCCGGGCUCAACCUGGGAACUGCAUGUGGACUGGCAGGCUAGAGUAUGGCAGAGGGGGGUAGAAUUCCACGUGUAGCAGUGAAAUGCGUAGAGAUGUGGAGGAAUACCGAUGGCGAAGGCAGCCCCCUGGGCCAAUACUGACGCUCAUGCACGAAAGCGUGGGGAGCAAACAGGAUUAGAUACCCUGGUAGUCCACGCCCUAAACGAUGUCAACUAGUUGUUGGGGAUUCAUUUCCUUAGUAACGUAGCUAACGCGUGAAGUUGACCGCCUGGGGAGUACGGUCGC